AUUGAACGCUGGCGGCAGGCCUAACACAUGCAAGUCGAGCGGAAACGAGUUGUCUGAACCUUCGGGGAAUGAUAACGGCGUCGAGCGGCGGACGGGUGAGUAAUGCCUAGGAAAUUGCCCUGAUGUGGGGGAUAACCAUUGGAAACGAUGGCUAAUACCGCAUGAUGCCUACGGGCCAAAGAGGGGGACCUUCGGGCCUCUCGCGUCAGGAUAUGCCUAGGUGGGAUUAGCUAGUUGGUGAGGUAAGGGCUCACCAAGGCAACGAUCCCUAGCUGGUCUGAGAGGAUGAUCAGCCACACUGGAACUGAGACACGGUCCAGACUCCUACGGGAGGCAGCAGUGGGGAAUAUUGCACAAUGGGCGCAAGCCUGAUGCAGCCAUGCCGCGUGUAUGAAGAAGGCCUUCGGGUUGUAAAGUACUUUCAGCAGUGAGGAAGGCGGGUACGUUAAUAGCGUGCUCGUUUGACGUUAGCUGCAGAAGAAGCACCGGCUAACUCCGUGCCAGCAGCCGCGGUAAUACGGAGGGUGCGAGCGUUAAUCGGAAUUACUGGGCGUAAAGCGCAUGCAGGUGGUUUGUUAAGUCAGAUGUGAAAGCCCGGGGCUCAACCUCGGAAUAGCAUUUGAAACUGGCAGACUAGAGUACUGUAGAGGGGGGUAGAAUUUCAGGUGUAGCGGUGAAAUGCGUAGAGAUCUGAAGGAAUACCGGUGGCGAAGGCGGCCCCCUGGACAGAUACUGACACUCAGAUGCGAAAGCGUGGGGAGCAAACAGG
rnacentral:rRNA from 1 species